UUUUCCCGGUUUCAGGAUUUUCAUUCCUGCAACCCUGUCUUUUCUGAAUGGUUUCAAUUGCAAAACAUUGAUUUUUAUCUCAUCAAAAUUAUAGAUGAUCGUUCUAGUUUUGUCAUUCUUCCGGGUUCUUUUACCCCCGAGUGUUACCUUUUCUUCUGGUUUCGAAGUAUGUGUUUAUUUUUGUGUUAUUAUUUAUUUUGGAUGAUUUUAAUGUAUUGAUGUUAAAAAUAAAAAAAUAUAAAAAAGUAUUAUUUUAAUUAAAAAAUAUUAUUGAAAAGUAGAUGGAUGGAAAUACUAAACAAGCUGUGUGUUUUAAACUUUUAAUGGUUGAUUUAAAAAUAUUUAGUUAAUCAAUACAUUAAUUUUAUAUUAGUGAUAUUAAAAACUCUUAAAAUAUUAAUAAAAAAAUUAUAAAUUAUAAUUUUUUUAAACCUCCUUUUUUAAAUUAUGUCCGCAAAAAUUAAUAGCAAGAUAAUUAAAGGAAGUUGAAUAUUUUCUUAUCUAAGCAAAUUAAUAAUUUGAUUUUCAACAUAUAAAAAUAAAAUAAAAUAUUUAAAUAUUAAAAAUGAAGGAUUUUUAUUUUCCAAUUUAGAUCAACUUGGAUUUAAAUAAAGUAUUGUAUAAUCUAAUUCAAAAUUAAGGACUGGUUUGUAAUCAUAUUAAGAGCUCAGGGACUAAAAAUAACCCACUCAAACUAAGAAAUUGCCAUUCCAUGGACUCACUCCCCACCCUACCAUGUCUCUCCCUCCACAUAUAAAUAUGCGUAUUGCCUCUCCUCACCACCUUGCCGUUCCAAACCGUCAAGACUCCUCCUUUCUCUCUUCAUCACCAACAAAAUCAAAAGGUAAUGCCUUUCUCUCUUCCUCUCUCUAAAGCUGUUUCCUUUCCUUUCGUUUCAUUUGACACGCCGCAUGACUCGUUCAAUUGUGAUUUUCAUGUAUUUUUGAGUUUAGUUCAUUGUCUUUUGUUCCUUGUUUUUUGGACUUGUCUAUGUUUUCUUUAUCUAGCAUUAACAUCUUCAUGUUUAUAUAAAACCCACUUCACUUCUCUCUUAGAUCUCUCCCUCCCUCCCUUCUUUUGCUGGUUCUUGGCAUCUUUGUUAGAUCUGUUGCUCAGAUUUUAUUUUUCUCAUAGAUUUUUAAACUAACAGGUUUGUUUUUAUAUCAAUAUUUCUCUUUUCUUUAUUGGUUUCAUUGGAUCUUAAAGUUUUGAUUUUUUUUUGUUUUUAAUCUAUAAUGAGGCGAGUUGUUGAUAUAAUAUAUACGAACUGGGCUGUUUUUUUGGCAUGUGAUUAUUGUUUUAUGUCAUUUUGAUCAGACUAUUGCUAUUUGUUCUGAAAUAUUUGUCCCUAAUGAGAUAAUCCUAACCACCAGAUGGUAAGUUGAGUGUCCAUCCCAUCAAUGAUUGUUGUGAUUCGGGAAAUUGAUUCAGUAAAUUCAUCUUGGACAGAGUAGAAAGAUUAUGUUUGAUUAGUGUAGAUAAGACAGAUUUGUUUUUUUCCUUAGAUUUCGGAAUAAAUGAUGAAUGUUUGUGUAUUACUUGGUUUGGAAUGGACAAUUUGAUUGUUAGAAUAUGACGCGAUCGUUAAUGGUGUUUUUUAUUUGAUUUUGGAGAUUUGGUUUUGCUCUUAAAACCUGAUUUGAUUGCUGCGCAAGUGGUAUGUCUUGAAUCAGAGUGAUGCAUGCAUUCUAAGCUAUUGUGGGGGGUCGGUUUUCUGACUGAAAUUGUUUGUAAAGAACAACUGUGGUUAAUGUGCUUUUGCUUUGUUGAAACUUUAUUGGGGUUACUGCAGAAGGAGUGUCGCAGCAAUUUUUUAUGGAGCUUGAGUGCUUCAGUUUUCUGAUGCUCUUUUUGGUGUUGCGUUUCCUUGUAAAUAAUAAGUCCAUCGUUCGGUUACCUUUUUUCUUUUUGUUAAAUUGAUUAUCCAUUUAUCCACUUGAAGUUUUUGAAAAGCUGGUUGACUGUUCUUGGCAGUUUGUUAGAUUUGUACAUGCUGAUAAAGGUGGUAUUUUAUAAUUUGGUAGAUUUUUGUUGGGAAUAAGCAUAACCAUAUCCCUAUGUGCUGCAUGCUCGUCUGUCUACAUUAGUUAUGUAAGCACAGUUUUGUCAGUUCAAAUGGUUUGCAAAUUCCGUGCUUAAAGAACCCUGUUAUAAGGUAUAAUGUUAUUAUAUAUAUUUAUGAAUUAUAAGGUGCAUUGCUAUCAAUACUGCUUGAGGAAAUAUAAUUAUUGGUUUGUUAAAUUCUUAGAAUUCAGAAAAAUCGUAUGGAAUUAUAUGCUUAAUGGUACCUUUGAUAUGGUUUUGUUGUACCUUAAUAUUGUUUGUUGGAUUUAAUUGGAACAGGGGUUCAUUAUUUGUGAGAGGAAAUGGCUGAUAGCCGCCAGCAACCAUCUGUCAUGCAAAAGAUGGCAAGCCAGGUCCAUCACAGUUCUAGCUUUUCCCAAGGCUUUCAGAGACCUGCUUUACACCAAAGGCAGUUUGCAUAUGGAAAUUAUUCCAAUGCAGGAUUCCAGUAUGCGAUGACAAGGGCAUGCCAAUCCACCCUUGAUAUGUCAUUGAUUGCAUCUUCUACCUCACCAGUAUUUGUCCAAGCCCCAUCAGAGAAAGGCUUGGCUGGCUUUGCUAUUGAUUUUCUUAUGGGUGGAGUUUCUGCAGCUGUGUCCAAAACUGCCGCCGCUCCUAUUGAGCGUGUGAAGCUCUUGAUCCAAAACCAGGAUGAGAUGAUCAAGACUGGUCGACUCUCUGAACCAUACAAGGGAAUUGGAGAUUGUUUCAGCAGAACAAUGAAAGAUGAGGGGAUGGUGUCAUUGUGGAGAGGAAACACUGCCAAUGUCAUCCGUUACUUCCCCACUCAGGUUUGUUCCAUCUUGGAUGCUUUACCAACCUAUUUCAUUCCUUUUGAGUUUUAUUUCUGUGCUUAUCUAGUAAUUCUAUGAACCCUCCUCCAGGCCCUGAACUUUGCAUUCAAAGAUUACUUUAAGAGCCUUUUCAACUUCAAGAAGGACCGUGAUGGCUAUUGGAAGUGGUUUGCUGGUAAUUUGGCAUCUGGUGGUGCUGCUGGUGCCUCAUCACUACUCUUUGUCUAUUCUUUGGAUUAUGCCCGAACCCGUCUUGCAAAUGAUUCCAAGGCUGCAAAGAAGGGAGGGGAGAGGCAAUUCAAUGGCUUGGUUGAUGUCUACAAGAAGACUAUGCAAUCAGAUGGUAUUGCUGGGCUUUACCGUGGAUUUAACAUUUCAUGCGUUGGUAUUAUUGUGUACCGUGGUCUGUAUUUUGGAAUGUAUGAUUCUUUGAAGCCAGUGCUCCUAACCGGAAAGAUGCAGGUUAGUAAAUUCUGCUAUAAAUUGUUUAACAGUUUGGAUCUCAUUUGUCGGUGAAUUCUCAUGUAGUUUCAUUUAUCACACGAUGAUUUCAGGAUAGCUUCUUUGCUAGCUUUGCUCUUGGUUGGGUCAUCACCAACGGUGCUGGACUUGCAUCCUAUCCAAUUGACACUGUCCGCAGAAGAAUGAUGAUGACAUCCGGUGAAGCUGUCAAGUACAAGAGCUCCUUUGAUGCAUUCUCUCAGAUCCUCAAGAACGAGGGUGCUAAAUCCCUCUUCAAGGGUGCUGGUGCAAACAUCCUCCGUGCUGUUGCUGGUGCCGGUGUGCUUGCCGGAUAUGACAAGCUUCAGAUGAUUGUGUUUGGGAAGAAGUUUGGUUCUGGUGGGGCCUAAUUAAGUCUCAUUCUCAUUCUCCCCAUACAAUCAUAGAUGGUGAUGAAAUUUUUGGCGUUCCAUUCCAUAAUUUAUCCUGGAUAAUUCUUUAGGCUCAUUUAAUGACCUUUUUUCUCAAGGUGUUUUCCCGGUUUCAGGAUUUUCAUUCCUGCAACCCUGUCUUUUCUGAAUGGUUUCAAUUGCAAAACAUUGAUUUUUAUCUCUAUCAAAAUUAUAGAUGAUCAUUCUAGUUCUUCCGGGUUCUUUUACCCCCGAGUGUUACCUUUUCUUCUGGUUUCGAAGUAUGUGUUUAUUUUUGUGUUAUUAUUUGUUUUU
rnacentral:lncRNA from 1 species